GUGAGGAAUAUUGGGCAAUGGGCGAAAGCCUGACCCAGCCACGCCGCGUGAGUGAUGAAGGCCUUCGGGUUGUAAAGCUCUGUGGGGAGGGAAGAAAAAGCGCAGGAGUAACUGCCUGUGUGUUGACGGUACCUCCUUAGCAAGCACCGGCUAACUCUGUGCCAGCAGCCGCGGUAAUACAGAGGGUGCAAACGUUGCUCGGAAUUACUGGGCGUAAAGCGCGUGUAGGCUGACAUGCAAGUCGGGUGUGAAAUCCCAGGGCUCAACCUUGGAACUGCACUCGAAACUGCACGUCUUGAGUACUGGAGAGGGAAGCGGAAUUCCGGGUGUAGAGGUGAAAUUCGUAGAUAUCCGGAGGAACACCAGUGGCGAAGGCGGCUUCCUGGACAGUAACUGACGCUGAGACGCGAAAGCGUGGGGAGCAAACAGGAUUAGAUACCCGUGUAGUCC
rnacentral:rRNA from 1 species